rnacentral:rRNA from 1 species
UACAGAGGUCCCAAGCGUUGUUCGGAUUCAUUGGGCGUAAAGGGUGCGUAGGCGGCGCGGGAAGUCGGGUGUGAAAUCUCGGAGCUUAACUCCGGGCCUGCAGUCGAUACGGGCGGACUAGAGUUCGGCAGGGGAGACUGGAAUUCCUGGUGUAGCGGUGAAAUGCGCAGAUAUCAGGAGGAACACCGGUGGCGAAGGCGGGUCUCUGGGCCGAUACUGACGCUGAGGAGCGAAAGCGUGGGGAGCGAACAGG